AAAAUGCCACGCUAGCAAAUUACAAUACUAUCCAGUCUUCACAAACUAACACCACUGUCUUCUUUCUCUAUCUAGGGUUAGAUCUCCGAUCAUACAACCAGACAGCCACCACCAUGGAGUGCUAGGAUCUAACUAACAAGUCAGCACUCCACCUAUAUCACUCUGCUAACAAUUAGUAUCUUGGCCAGGAGAAGAGAGCGAUGGCGGUGACGGUAUGGUCAUGGUAGUGAUGUCUCCUAUGAUCAUUCGAUUAUGUGCUUCACUAACAAUUUACAGGGUUUCCGGUGGUGUUCAGAUACUAUAGUGAUUGACGAACUACUGCGCAAUUAGCUAGCGUUUCGUUGGACUUCCAGCAAGCCGAUUACGGCGUUAAUCAGCUAUGGCCGAGAAGGGGGUGGUGAGACGAUUCACCUUGUCGACAUGUAUCAUUUCAGUCUUGAUGGUUGAGUUCAGAAUUGGUUGAUUAGGAGCUAAGAUGUCUUGAAGUUAUAUAUAUCUACUGGAAUAUUGUAUUGGGAUUAGCUUCAGUUUUCAUUUGUUAUGUUUUGAUUGUGCAAGGGAAGCCUAUGAAGAAUAGUGGGAAUCAAGUUUGCCACAUAUGUGGGGAAAAUGCUAAUAGCACAAAGAAAGAAAAAGUGCUUAUGCAUGUGAUGUAUGUGCAUUCCUAGUUCGCAGGUUGUGCUAUGAGUAUGAGCGCAAGGAUGACAAUCAGUCUUGCCAUCAAUGCAAAACUAGAUACAAGUGACAAAAAGAAUCAUGUAUGUGGAUGAGCUUCAAAGUGAUUAAGUGAUUAUUUAAUUUGUUUGAUCAAAAAAGAAAGUGGGCUAAUUUGUAUGAGGAUGAAGGAAAACGAGAUUUGAUGGGCCGACUUAAUGGACUAGAGGAGAAAUCACGUGCACAUGAGGGUCUAGACUCUUGGAGGGGAACACCUUGGACAGUAGCCGACAACAUCGGGGGUGUUUGGGUUAGCUUAUUUAAGUUGAAAAGGACUUUUUGUCAAAAGGACUUAUUAACUUAUAACUUUUUGAAAAGGAGUUUCUAAAAAAGUGUUUGGAUUAGCUUAUGAGACAAUAAGUCAAUAAGUAGGUUUUAAAAAGUGUUUGGUUUAACUUAUUCAUGUAAAAUGACUAAAAAGGACAUCCCUUAAAAUUUGUUACUAUGUCAUGAUUUUAUCCCAGAAAUUAAUUGCACAAAGUUUGUAACUAAAUAUUCUAAUGAAACCUACAAUUUUUUUAUUAAUAAGCAUGUCAGGUCCUAAAUUCUCUUCAAAAUUGAUGCAAACAUUUAAGUUUAAAUGCAGUAUACGCAGAUUAUAUUUGAGACAGAAACAAGGGUUUUAUGGUAAUAUUUCUUCAAAAGUCCUUUUUCAUAUUGAGAAGUUACAAUUCAUGACUUCUCAAAAUUGGCUUUUUACAACACAAGCUAUAAGUUAUUGUAAAAGGACUUAUGGGUUUCCCAAACACUAUCAAGCUAACUUAUUAACUUAUAAAAGUUAAUAAGUUAAAAGGAGGGCAAAAAUAAGGAAUCCCAAACACCACCAUCACAUCAUACAUAUAAAAAAACAUAUCGAACGCAGCUUUCGGGGGGAGGAUUUCUUUUUGGGAGGAUUGGCAGCCGUCGAACAUCUAACAUCAGGGACGAAUUUCAUCAUUCUCUUCAGCCAAUCAACGACAUCUAGCCAACUCGGGAUGACAACCGAAGCGGCGAAGAUCACCAUGAGCGGCUAAACUUCUUGUGACUUCUGCCCGGAUGAACGUUUACGCGGUUUGACAUAAUUAUUUGUUUUUCUGAUUCUUGUAAACUGGUACAGCUUGACCACUUGUGUUGGAUUAUUGGUAAACGUUUCUUGUGUUUGAAUUACUUGUCGUUUAUUAA